CGUAACAAGGUUUCCGUAGGUGAACCUGCGGAAGGAUCAUUACCUAGAGUUGUAGGCUUUGCCUGCUAUCUCUUACCCAUGUCUUUUGAGUACCUUCGUUUCCUCGGCGGGUCCGCCCGCCGAUUGGACAAUUUAAACCAUUUGCAGUUGCAAUCAGCGUCUGAAAAAACUUAAUAGUUACAACUUUCAACAACGGAUCUCUUGGUUCUGGCAUCGAUGAAGAACGCAGCGAAAUGCGAUAAGUAGUGUGAAUUGCAGAAUUCAGUGAAUCAUCGAAUCUUUGAACGCACAUUGCGCCCCUUGGUAUUCCAUGGGGCAUGCCUGUUCGAGCGUCAUUUGUACCUUCAAGCUCUGCCUGGUGUUGGGUGUUUGUCUCGCCUCUGCGCGCAGACUCGCCUCAAAACAAUUGGCAGCCGGCGUAUUGAUUUCGGAGCGCAGUACAUCUCGCGCUUUGCACUCAUAACGACGACGUCCAAAAGUACAUUUUUACACUCUUGACCUCGGAUCAGGUAGGGAUACCCGCUGAACUUAAGC
rnacentral:rRNA from 1 species